AGUUGCAUGGCUAAAUCGGUAAAAAAAAAAAAGGAUCCUUCUAAUAAGGUGAGGGUUGUGAGUUCGAGUCUCACUGUGACUA